UUUUAAAUGUGUUUUGUCCUUUUUUCAUCACUUCCUUUAUUAUUGAAAAGGAGCAGCUGGCUACUCUUAGUUGUAAGAAACAAGAGGAAAACUCCUGGCAACUAUCUUGGUCCCUCUGCUCAUGUUCAUCCGGACUUAAAGGCGAGGUUCCUCCCACGGCACACCGGAUCGUGCCUCAUACGGUGGUAACCCUCAUCACCACUUCGCGGUUGGCUGCGGCGCUGAUUCGAGGGUCGUUGGGUCGCAGUUGACUCAGGAUGUGCAAGAUGGUGUAUCCACAGUGGUGGUUCAGAAUAGUUCUCAGCCUCCUACCGUGGCGGCCUGCACUGCCACCGGCCAGCCCGUGAGGAGAACCGCGAGAGCCACGGGCCCCCGCCUUGCCGCCUGAACUCACCGGGUCACCCAGGUCUUUAGAUUUCUCAUAGUUCAGAACUUUCCACUGCUGGUUGACAGCCUGCCAUCGUUUAAAAAUCCGAUACACCGACGAUCCCUCAUGGAUGAUGAGGCCUGUAGGAAGAAAAAAACAGGAAGACUAAAGAAUCAGAAUCAGAAUCAGAAAUACUUUAUUAAUCCCCGAGGGGAAAUAAAAAUGUUCAGCACAAUCCCAUUCAAAAUCAGACAAACAUUACAGGGAGACAGAACAGAAUCGCUGACGGGUCUGCCAACUUCCGGCACCCCUUACAAAAAAGUUGCCCUUAUUUGGAGUUCCUCGGCAGAGCCACUGCAAGACACCUGGGGCCAACUCCAAUUAGGCCAGAUCUUAAGCUCUGGACUGAGACAUGCUCGACGUCAGAUGAUUCUCCUUGCCUUCCCAUGGGUCGUGCAUGUCUCCUCGUCUCUGCUGCCUUCUUAAUAGCGUGUAUUCUCCCAAGUAAUUCUUGUUGAACUUUAACCAGUAAGUCUGGCCUUUUAUUUGCACUUUGUUUCAUUUGCUAGUUUGUUAGCUUCCCGGGGGCCUUUUGUUACCGGUAACUUUCAGUCAUACUUUUUACCACUCC